GGGUGAGUAACACGUGGGAACGUGCCUUUAGGUUCGGAAUAGCUCCUGGAAACGGGUGGUAAUGCCGAAUGUGCCCUUCGGGGGAAAGAUUUAUCGCCUUUAGAGCGGCCCGCGUCUGAUUAGCUUGUUGGUGGGGUAAUGGCCCACCAAGGCUACGAUCAGUAGCUGGUCUGAGAGGAUGACCAGCCACAUUGGGACUGAGACACGGCCCAAACUCCUACGGGAGGCAGCAGUGGGGAAUCUUGCGCAAUGGGCGAAAGCCUGACGCAGCCAUGCCGCGUGUAUGAUGAAGGUCUUAGGAUUGUAAAAUACUUUCACCGGUGAAGAUAAUGACUGUAGCCGGAGAAGAAGCCCCGGCUAACUUCGUGCCGGCAGCCGCGGUAAUACGAAGGGGGCUAGCGUUGCUCGGAAUUACUGGGCGUAAAGGGAGCGUAGGCGGACAUUUAAGUCAGGGGUGAAAUCCCGGAGCUCAACUCCGGAACUGCCCUUGAUACUGGGUGUCUUGAGUGUGAGAGAGGUAUGUGGAACUCCGAGUGUAGAGGUGAAAUUCGUAGAUAUUCGGAAGAACACCAGUGGCGAAGGCGACAUACUGGCUCAUUACUGACGCUGAGGCUCGAAAGCGUGGGGAGCAAACAGGAUUAGAUACCCUGGUAGUCCACGCCGUAAACGAUGAUUGCUAGUUGUCGGGGAGUUUACUUCUCGGUGACGCAGCUAACGCAUUAAGCAAUCCGCCUGGGGAGUACGGUCGCAGAUUAAACUCAAAGGAAUUGACGGGGGCCCGCACAAGCGGUGGAGCAUGAGGUUUAAUUCGAAGCAACGCGCAGAA
rnacentral:rRNA from 1 species